AUUGAACGCUGGCGGCAGGCCUAACACAUGCAAGUCGAGCGGAUGAAGGGAGCUUGCUCCUGGAUUCAGCGGCGGACGGGUGAGUAAUGCCUAGGAAUCUGCCUGGUAGUGGGGGAUAACGUCCGGAAACGGGCGCUAAUACCGCAUACGUCCUGAGGGAGAAAGUGGGGGAUCUUCGGACCUCACGCUAUCAGAUGAGCCUAGGUCGGAUUAGCUAGUUGGUGGGGUAAAGGCCUACCCAGGCGACGAUCCGUAACUGGUCUGAGAGGAUGAUCAGUCACACUAGAACUGAGACACGGUCCAGACUCCUACGGGAGGCAGCAGUGGGGAAUAUUGGACAGUAGGCGAAAGCCUGAUCCAGCCAUGCAGCGUGUGUGAAGAAGGUCUUCGGAUUGUAAAGCACUUUAAGUGGGGAGGAAGGGCAGUAAGUUAAUACCUUGCUGUUUUGACGUUACCAACAGAAUAAGCACCGGCUAACUUCGUG
rnacentral:rRNA from 1 species